rnacentral:rRNA from 1 species
GACGAACGCUGGCGGCGUGCCUAAUACAUGCAAGUAGAACGCUGAAGGAGGAGCUUGCUUCUCUGGAUGAGUUGCGAACGGGUGAGUAACGCGUAGGUAACCUGCCUUGUAGCGGGGGAUAACUAUUGGAAACGAUAGCUAAUACCGCAUAAGAGUAGAUGUUGCAUGACAUUUGCUUAAAAGGUGCAAUUGCAUCACUACCAGAUGGACCUGCGUUGGAUUAGCUAGUUGGUGAGGUAACGGCUCACCAAGGCGGCGAUACAUAGCCGACCUGAGAGGGUGAUCGGCCACACUGGGACUGAGACAGGCCCCAGACUCCUACGGGAGGCAGCAGUAGGGGAUCUUUGGCAAUGGACGGAAGUCUGACCGAGGAACGCCGGGUGAGUGAAGAAGGUUUUCGGAUCGUAAAGCUAUGUUGUACGAGAAGAACGAGUGUGAGAGUGGAAAGUUCACACUGUGACGGUAUCUUAACAGAAAGGGACGGCUAACUACGUG